rnacentral:rRNA from 2 species
CCGUCUUGAAACACGGACCAAGGAGUCUAGCAUGUGCGCGAGUCAUUGGGAUCUAACUAAACCUAAAGGCGAAAUGAAAGUGAAGGUCCGCCUCGCGCGGACCGAGGGAGGAUGGGCCCGCCCACGGGGGGCCCCGCACUCCCGGGGCGUCUCGUUCUCAUCGCGAGAUGAGGCGCACCCAGAGCGUACACGCUGGGACCCGAAAGAUGGUGAACUAUGCCUGGUCAGGACGAAGUCAGGGGAAACCCUGAUGGAGGUCCGUAGCGAUUCUGACGUGCAAAUCGAUCGUCGGAACUGGGUAUAGGGGCGAAAGACUAAUCGAACCAUCUAGUAGCUGGUUCCCUCCGAAGUUUCCCUCAGGAUAGCUGGCGCUCGCCGCGCGCGAGUCUCAUCCGGUAAAGCGAAUGAUUAGAGGCAUUGGGGUCGAAACGGCCUCAACCUAUUCUCAAACUUUAAAUGGGUGAGAUCUCCGGCUUGCUCGAACACUGUUCCGUGAAGCCGCGAGAUUUCGGAUCAGAGUGCCAAGUGGGCCACUUUUGGUAAGCAGAACUGGCGCUGUGGGAUGAACCAAACGCAGAGUUAAAGCGCCCAAAUCGACGCUUAUGGGAUACCAUGAAAGGCGUUGGUAACUUAAGACAGCAGGACGGUGGCCAUGGAAGUCGGAAUCCGCCAAGGAGUGUGUAACAACUCACCUGCCGAA